UACAGAGGGUGCAAACGUUGCUCGGAAUUAUUGGGCGUAAAGAGCGUGUAGGCGGCCAAGCAGGUCCGCUGUGAAAACUCGAGGCUCAACCUCGAGACGUCGGUGGAAACCGUUUGGCUAGAGUCCGGAAGAGGAGAGUGGAAUUCCUGGUGUAGCGGUGAAAUGCGCAGAUAUCAGGAAGAACACCCGUGGCGAAGGCGGCUCUCUGGGACGGUACUGACGCUGAGACGCGAAAGCGUGGGGAGCGAACAGG
rnacentral:rRNA from 1 species